rnacentral:rRNA from 1 species
UAGAGCGCCGAAAAUGAACGGGGCUAAAAUCUAAUACCGAAGCUGUGGACUAAUUUAAUUAGUGGUAGAGGAGCAUUGUGUAAGGGGUGAAGCUAAGUUGGAAGACGAAGUGGACUUUACAGAAGAGAGAAUGCUGGCAUGAGUAGCGAAAAGGAGGGUGAGAAUCCCUCCCGUCGAAAGCCUAAGGAUUCCUGAGGAAGGCUCGUCCUCUCAGGGUAAGUCGGGACCUAAGCCCAGGCUGAAAAGCGUAAGCGAUGGACAACAGGUUGAGAUUCCUGUACUAUCUUUGAAUGUUUGAGAGAUGUACUGACGCAGGAGGAUAUGUUGAGCGUGUGAAUGGUAGAGCACGUCUAAGCAAGUAGGUAGAGAAUAGAGGCAAAUCCCUAUUUUUAAUAUCGAGAUGCGAUGGGGAGCGAAAAAUAAGUAGUGAAGCAACAGAUUCCAAACUGCCAAGAAAAGGUACUAUUGAGUGAGAAGAUACCCGUACCAAAACCGACACAGGUAGGCAAGGAGAGAAUCCUAAGACGCGCGGAAGAACCUUUGUUAAGGAACUCGGCAAAAUGACCCCGUAACUUCGGGAGAAGGGGUACCAUUAGAUGUGAAGUACAUACGUAUGGAGCAUAGAGUGGUCGCAGAGAAUAGGCCCAAGCAACUGUUUACCAAAAACACAAGUCUCUGCUAAAUCGAAAGAUGAAGUAUAGGGGCUGACACCUGCCCGGUGCUGGAAGGUUAAGGGGAAAUGUUAGAGCAAUCGAAGCAUAGAACUUAAGCCCCAGUAAACGGCGGCCGUAACUAUAACGGUCCUAAGGUAGCGAAAUUCCUUGUCGGGUAAGUUCCGACCCGCACGAAAGGUGUAAUGAUUUGGGCACUGUCUCAACAAAGGAUCCGGUGAAAUUGUAGUAGUCGUGAAGAUGCGACUUACCCACGAUAGGACGGAAAGACCCCGUGGAGCUUUACUGUAGGCUGGCAUUGGAAUUUGGUAUUAAAUGUACAGGAUAGGUGGGAGACUAUGAAGCGAGAGCGCCAGUUUUCGUGGAGUCGACGUUGGGAUACCACUCUUUUGAUACUAAAUUUCUAACUUGAUACUCUGAAGCGAGUAUAAGGACACUGUCAGUUGGGCAGUUUGACUGGGGCGGUCGCCUCCUAAAGAGUAACGGAGGCGUUCAAAGGUUCCCUCAGAAUGGAUGGAAAUCAUUCUAAGAGUGCAAAGGCAAAAGGGAGCUUAACUGCGACACCAACAAGUGGAGCAGAUAGGAAACUAGGACUUAGUGAUCCGGUGGUACCGAGUGGAAGGGCCAUCGCUCAACGGAUAAAAGCUACCCCGGGGAUAACAGGCUUAUCUCCCCCAAGAGUUCACAUCGACGGGGAGGUUUGGCACCUCGAUGUCGGCUCGUC